ensembl:lncRNA novel transcript, antisense to CCNH
UCUCCGCAUUGGCUACUGGGAAAAACCUUCCCCAACAUCAUCUCUUGACAAGUGAACGGCUCUUGCCACGCACUACCUUAGCACACUACUUACUCUCUUCUUCACUACGUUACAAAGACUGGUUACUUGUCUGCCAUUCGACGACGGGGAUGGCGUUGUUCGUCUUUGUACCCACGGAACCUGGCAAGGUGCUCGCUUAUUUUGAUAGAAAAACGCACUCCGCGCCGCAGAGGCAGAGAAACGACGGAGCGAGAUUGUCCUGGGAGCCAGAAGAGCUCCCGCAGCUGCUCAGAAUUUAGUGACCGGGCAACUGGGCAACCGUUGGGAAAACCUCACCUUCCCGUUGGCCACGGCUUUGCAUCUGAAUUUGCGGUUGGCGUCAGCCCGCAGUCUUGCCAGCUGCUCCUCGCUGGAGAAGGUCCAGUGCCGCUUCUGACUACUGUUGUGGUACAUUAUGGAAUCGUGACCAGGUCCAGAGGGUCUGCAGACGAGAACCCAAACGCAUCAGCGUCCUGGCGUAAAACACCCGUACCCCCACCGAAGAUCUCGCGGAAGCCUAGGGCGUCCGGCUAGCCGGCGCUGGCGCGCUGUCGUCACGAUUACGCGGCCAGCCCGUACGCAGUUGCAUUUCCGGAGCGGACUAGGAACAGACCGUAUCCCGGGUUCGUUAGGGCGCCCACUGAGACGUAAGUGGGCGGAGCCUAGAGAACGCUCCUCUCGUUGUGAAGGAGAAGGUAGUAACCAUUGAGGAGAAAGGAAGAUGGAAGAGGCUGGUAUCCAGCUGAUAGUUCUCACAGAUGGAGUCUCACUCUGUUGCCCAGGCUGGAGUGCAGUGGUGAUCUCGGCUCACUUCAAUCUCCGCCUCCCGGGUUCAAGCAGUUCUCCUUCCUCAGCCUCCUGAGUAGCUGGGACUACAGUCACACACCGCCACACCCGGCCAAUUUUUUGUAUUUUAGUAGAGACGGAGUUUCACUGUGUUGUCCAGGCUGGUUGCGAACUCCUGAGCUCAGGCAAUCCGCCUGCCUCAGCCACCCAAAGUGUUGGGAUUACAGGCGUGAGCCACUGUGCCCAGCCAGUGCUCUCUAUUCUUAUGUCAACAUGGAUGGAAAUGAAGGCCAUUAUCCUAAGUGAAGUAACUCAGAAAUAGUCAAAUACUGCAUGUUUUCACAAGUGAGAGCUAAACAAUGGGUACACAUGGCUAUAUGGAGUCGAAAAAUAGACAUGGAAGACAACAAAAGAUAAGAAAACAGAGACUGAAGACUUUAUAUAAAUUGCCCAAUCCACACAGCUGGGAUGUAGCAUAACCAGGAUUCAGAUUAUCUAAGAAGACCUCAUGAUCUGAAAAUCUUUAUAAAUGUGCUUCCUCCUUGAGACAGAUCAUUAAAAGCAGUUAUUAUGUUUCUAUAACACUAUGUAUCUUGUGUGUAUUGCAUAUCAUAUCUGUUUAGGUUCAACUUUGCUUUUCUUUUAAACACUUUUAAGGCUUAUCAGAAGCUGCUAGACUUCCUGAAAAAUACCAUUAAGACUUCCAGGUAUUCCAGUAUAUUUAAAUUUCUUAUAGUUGCAAGUGACAAAACCUCAACUCAACUAACUUAGGCCAAUAUGAGAAAUUUAUUGUCUAAUAUAAACAUCUACAACAAAUCCAAGUGUAGAAUUGGACUCAGAGAUGACAGAAUUUAUAAACUUCACCCAGUUAUUUCCUUUCACUGAUUCUUAUCUCUGAUUUUUUUCUGCAUAUCAGAUUUUCCUGUUCCAGAUAAAUUUCUCCAGAAUUGGGAAUAUGGCUCUAGACCACUCCAGACUAAAAACCUCCCAUCUAUUUAGCUCAAGAGGCAAAAAGGAGAUUCUUAGAAUUUCCAGUUAUAUCCUACUAAAGACAGAUGUAGAGAAAUUCUAGGCAGACAGGAGCAGGUCCCAGUGAACCCUACCUUCAAGCUGAAAAGUCUGAAACCUGCAGCCCAAAGUGAGAACUUCUAUUCCUGUUUGCCCACUCUCUCCUGAUCAGUAAAAAGGCAUUAUUCAGAAAGAGUCAACUGAAUGUUGCCUUUUCCAAAACUACCUAUGGCCCGCCCCACCCUGAUCCUGUGUCUUUAAAGAUCCCAGACUCAGUCAG